CGGAUAGAGCCAGCGAAGUCGCUCGUAUUCAGCCAAAAGUCUGGGGUUGCCUGUCGUCGUGUUUCUAAUCGAGCACGGCGGUUUGUCUUCUCUGGAUUGAGGUGCAUUUGCGGGCGUUUGCGCUGAGACUUGCGAGGCAGCUGCGGGACCGGCGUUUAGAGGCUUCCCAUUGGGUUGAACCUGGGCGCCGUUACAGCUGUUUGCCUUGCUCGUACUGGUCUGGCCUACGGACCCUGCUCGUGCUGUUGUCAACUGGCCAAGGCAUCGCAUGCGAUGUCUAGCCUGGGGGCUGCAGCGCGGGUUGGUGUCCCCGGAUCGCCUCUCGGUGUAGAAGCUGGUCAUCUCUCCGACCCGUCUUGAAACACGGACCAAGGAGUUUAGCGUAUGCGCGAGUCAUUGGGUGUUAAAACCCACAGGCGCAAUGAAAGUGAAGGCUCGGUCGCCGGGCUGACAUGCGAGUGCCGCGGCUUCGGCCCAGGCAUGCAGCAUGGUCCCAUUGCAAUCGUUUACGAUACAGUGGAGACAGAGCGUAUGCGCUGAG
rnacentral:rRNA from 1 species